rnacentral:misc_RNA from 1 species
GCCACAUAAGCAGGGCCAUAUUACCCAAAAAAAAAACUUAUAAAACUUACAUCUCCAAACGGAUAUAAAGCCCGAUUGAUUAAUAAAUUUCAAUCAUUUUCCUCCAUUUCUUAGCAACAAUGAAAAAUGAAGUAAACCCUAGAUAGAAGAUAUCCAAGAAUAGUAGAAUGCUUGCUGUUUACAUUCUAGUGUAUGGAAACACAACUGAACAUUGAAAGACCAUAAAAGAAAUAUAGAAGCUAAGAAAGCAAAGAAAUAGGAAUCUGCUAGCAAUUGAUCACCAAAACAACGUUGGCAGGAGAGGAAAUUAGACUUUAAGGACAGAAACGUUAAUAAGGGGUAUGUUCAUGGAUUUAAGGUUGAAUUUAGCACUAGAAUUAGAGGGAGAGGUAAAGGGAAAGAAAGGUGGCUUCGGUUUUC